rnacentral:rRNA from 1 species
AGAGCGAACGCUGGCGGCGUGCUUAACACAUGCAAGUCGAACGCGCAGCAUUCUGUAGCAAUACAGGAUGUGGGCGCGUGGCGAACGGGUGCGUAACACGUGGAUAACCUUCCUUCAGGUGGGAAUAACCCAGUGAAAAUUGGGCUAAUACCGCAUCACAUUACGAGGGCACAUGCUCUUGUACUCAAAGCCGCAAGGCGCCAGAAGAGGGAUCCGCGGCCGAUUAGCUUGUUGGCGAGGUAAUGGCUCACCAAGGCAUUGAUCGGUA